rnacentral:rRNA from 1 species
GGACAAUGAACUUAGAUCAUUUUGACCUCAAAUCAGGUAGGACUACCCGCUGAAUCCUUAAGCAUAUCAUACGGGGAAGAAAA